rnacentral:rRNA from 1 species
GAUGAACGCUGGCGGCGUGCCUAAUACAUGCAAGUCGAGCGAACGGACGAGAAGCUUGCUUCUCUGAUGUUAGCGGCGGACGGGUGAGUAACACGUGGAUAACCUACCUAUAAGACUGGGAUAACUUCGGGAAACCGGAGCUAAUACCGGAUAAUAUUUUGAACCGCAUGGUUCAAAAGUGAAAGACGGUCUUGCUGUCACUUAUAGAUGGAUCCGCGCUUCAUUAGCUAGUUGGUAAGGUAACGGCUGACCAAGGCAACGAUGCAUAGCCGACCUGAGAGGGUGAUCGGCCACACUGGAACUGAGACACGGUCCAGACUCCUACGGGAGGCAGCAGUAGGGAAUCUUCCGCAAUGGGCGAAAGCCUGACGGAGCAACGCCGCGUGAGUGAUGAAGGUCUUCGGAUCGUAAAACUCUGUUAUUAGGGAAGAACAUAUGUGUAAGUAACUGUGCACAUCUUGACGGUACCUAAUCAGAAAGCCACGGCUAACUACGU